GACGCGGAGAUAGAGGCUCACGGAGACCCUAUAGGACUGAAUGAUUGUGUUCCAUGUGAACCAUAAUUGCCUGUUGCAAUAAACGACGCAAACGGCUUUAAACCCUGAUCCCCGUGUGAUUCGUCCCUGGAACCCGACCCUCCAAGGACCGGUUUCACAGGUUAAAGACUUUUUGAAGUAAAGAGGAGCAUCUCAACUGAACCAGAUGUCUAUCAUGGAUAUUUAACUGCAGUUCUGUGAGUAUCCCAACUUCACCAUGAAGCAUAACUGCAAACUGUAAGUCAUUAAUUUCUCAUUACUCUUGGGCACAUUGGCUUCCUGGUGUGUUAACCUGUUACCUGAAGGUUGAUCUGCAUAGUAAGGAUGUUUUAUUGGUUCAUGGGUUACUUUGGAUCUUUGUUUAUGUUGGUUUUAAUGAUUUGUUAAAAUGGUUACAGGCUCCAAGUUAUUGUUGUAAGCUGGAGUAAUAAUAAUAAUAAUACAUUUUAUUUAUAAUGCACUUUAUAUUUAUAAACCCAUUACUCCUUUACGGAGUAAUGGGUUGGGUUCUGAUAUCUUCAGUCUUCUUUCAUUCUACUCUCCUGAGCUCUGCAUCUUCAUCACAUGAGUGUUGCUUUACUAAUGAAUGUGUGGUCUGAUUGAGCAGAGUUGCAUACUGGGAUACAGAGCUGUCUGAAGUCUACAGGUCUGUAGACACGCCCCCUCAGGGGAAACCGAGUGUUUGAGAAACCGUUGUGACGUCAGUUACAUGGACUGGAAACUUCUUAAAGAUGGAGACAGGGAUUCAGAAGGAGAAACACCAGGGGGAGAUGAGGGUGCUCCUCAUCUCAACAACUAAAACACAACUUCAGUCUGACACGGAGAACCAUGGAACACAUUGAACAGUCCCCUCCAUGCAUCGUGACUCCUCAGGAACAUUUUCAUUUCCAAGAAGAUCUUAUUUGGGGCCAUCCCCAUAUGGAUCCUGCUCCUCAAGAGCCAACCCCCUCCACUGGGUGGUCUUCUGAACAGAUGACCUCCUUCCUGUCCUCAGGCUGACUAAAGCUGCACCGUUUGCAUCUGUGAAGGCCCCUCAUUCAGGAAACCACUGGACUACAAAGACAUGACUUCAGAGAUGUUGAAUCAACCUGGGACACACUUUGGAGACGCCAAGCAUAAUCCAACACCAAUGUGGGACGCCACUGAAGAAUGUUGUACAUAAUUCACGUCUCUGGAGACAUUGGUUGUUCUGUUAUGGGUGCCCUGGCAGGAGAGCUGGGGGGGGGAAUGAUGGAAUGUUAUUUGGCAUUUGGUUUUUACCCUGCAUGAAUGUUUGGCCUUCUAUGGCUCAGUGGUUUGUGUGUUUGAGUUUGACAUGAGAUGGAUGAUUUUUGUGCAUCGUUAGGGUUCUACUGUGUGUGUGUGUGUGUGUGUGUGUGUGUGCGUGUCUCCCACUCACACCUGGCAUGGGGUUCUACGUGCCUGUCCUGGGUUCUAUGUGUGUGUGUCCGGCUUGCUUUGACAAUGAUGAUGUUCAUACGGGGGUCUGUGUGAUUGGCUUGGGAUAUUGGAAUGGUCAACUAAAUCAUACCUGAUGGACGGCCACACGUUUACUUAAGGGCCUCCAGUGGACAUGAAGAGCCCUGAGCGACGCUCCGGAACGAGAUCCAACACACUGGGCAGGAAGGAGAGUAUCCAACUCAAGUGUAAAAGGAUGCAAGCGGCGUGUUCAGAUCAGUGACUUCAAACUAGGACUACACCAAUCAGGAUCAAUGGAGGAUGGACACCAAAAGGAAUUGCACAAGGAGAGUCUGACGUGGGAAAGGGACCUAAAUGGAUAUUCAAGAUGAACUUCAGACCUGUAAUGAGACGGCUCUUCCUACCUGGCUGGAUUGAUGGAGAGCCCUGUGGAUCUUGUCUUGCUCUCAGUUGCACGUCUUCUCAGGCUGAACUGUAUUUGUUUCGGACAGGACUAGCUGAACGAUUGGUUCCCUUAAAUCAGAAUCAAUCCGGGAACUCCAGCUAGUGCGCUCUUCGAGCUGAAGUUGUGCUCUUCAGCUGAGGAGGUAAGGAAACCUUCACUGGGGCUUCAAAGUGUAAAGAGGAGAAUGUUUCAAAGUGUUCCAUGGUACUCUGAUGAAGACCGUUGUUGUGUUCCACUGGCUGAGAGGAAGAACCCACACAUCUUCCUCUGGGCUUUCUCCUCUGAGAAUCCUGGCGCCAUCUUGAAGGAUAUUCCAGCUCAUGCAACUGAUGUCAUGACAG